GACGAACGCUGGCGGCGUGCCUAAUACAUGCAAGUCGAACGCAGUGGGGACGGGUGAGUAACACGUGGGUAACCUCCCAUCAGAGGGGAUAACACUUGGAAACAGGUGCUAAACCGAUACUGAUGGAUGUACCCGCGGUGCAUUAGCUAGUUGGUGAGGUAACGGCUCACCAAGGCCACGAUGCAUAGCCGACCUGGGAGGGUGGGCGGCCAAACUGGGACUUAGAAACGGGCCAGACUCCUACGGGAGGAAGAAGUAGGGAAGCUUCGGAAAUGGACGGAAGUCUGACCGAGCAACGGAGCGGGAGUGAAGAAGGUUUUCGGAGCGUAAAGCUCUGUUGUUAGAGAAGCGGUAACUAACGAGAAAGGGACGGCUAACUACGUGCCAGCCGCCGCGGUAAUAC
rnacentral:rRNA from 1 species